rnacentral:rRNA from 1 species
AACGAACGCUGGCGGCAUGCCUAACACAUGCAAGUCGAACGAGACCUUCGGGUCUGGUGGCGCACGGGUGCGUAACGCGUUGGAACCUGCCCUUAGGUUCGGAAUAACUCCCCGAAAGGGGUCCUAAUACCGGGUAAUAUCUUCGGACCAAAGAGUUAUCGCGUUUGGAUGGGCCCGCGUUUGAUUGGCUAGUUGUUAGGGUAAAAGCCUACCAAGGCGACGAUCCAUAGCUGGUCUGAGAGGAUGAUCAGCCACACUGGGACUGAGACACGGCCCAGACUCAUACGGGAGGCAGCAGUAGGGAAUAAUGGACAAAGGGCGAAAGCCGGAUCAGCAAGGCGGCGUGGGUGAUGAAGGCGUUAGGGUUGUAAAGCGCUUUUAACCGGGAUGAUAAUGACAGUACCGGGAGAAUAAGCUCCGGCUAACUACGUG